GCCCUUAGAGUUUGAUCAUGGCUCAGGAUGAACGCUAGCGGCAGGCCUAACACAUGCAAGUCGAGGGGUAACGGGAUAGCUUGCUAUUGCCGACGACCGGCGCACGGGUGCGUAACGCGUAUACAAUUUACCUUACACUAAGGGAUAGCCCGAAGAAAUUUGGAUUAAUACCUUAUAGUAUUUUUAGAUCGCAUGAUUUUUAAAUUAAAGGUUACGGUGUAAGAUGAGUAUGCGUCCUAUUAGUUAGUAGGUGAGGUAACGGCUCACCUAGACGAUGAUAGGUAGGGGUCCUGAGAGGGAGGUCCCCCACACUGGUACUGAGACACGGACCAGACUCCUACGGGAGGCAGCAGUGAGGAAUAUUGGACAAUGGAAGGAAUUCUGAUCCAGCCAUGCCGCGUGCAGGAAGACUGCCCUAUGGGUUGUAAACUGCUUUUAUACAGGAAGUAAAAGACUUACGUGUAGGUCAUUGACGGUACUGUACGAAUAAGGAUCGGCUAACUCCGUGCCAGCAGCCGCGGUAAUACGGAGGAUCCAAGCGUUAUCCGGAAUCAUUGGGUUUAAAGGGUCCGUAGGCGGGAGAUUAAGUCAGUGGUGAAAGUUUGUGGCUCAACCAUAAAAUUGCCAUUGAUACUGGUUUUCUUGAGUUAUUGUGAAGUGGUUAGAAUGAGUAGUGUAGCGGUGAAAUGCAUA
rnacentral:rRNA from 1 species